CUGUCCCCCUUUUUCCUUUCCUUUCCCUCCCUUGUUGGUGAAUCAUCCUCGCUCCCAAGUGAUCCCCGCGAGAAAACCGUUCAUUCAUCGUAGCCGUUACAAUCACGCAAACAAGCACCACCACCAUCAUCAUCAACAUCUUAACUUUCCCAUUUUGCCCCUACCGACCCUUCAUCAACCGUUCAAACCUUCUUCCAUCUCCCUUAAAUACCCACCACAUCUCACAACUCUCAAACAAACACUCAGAUUCAUCUCUCUCUCUCUCUCUCUCUCUUCUCUCUCUCUCUCUCUCUCUAAGAUAAACACCAUUUAAUUGCUACUCAUGGGAACUGUUGUUGAAGCUGCAAACAAGGAUGCUGCAAAUGGAAAUGGGAGCAUCCUAAACAAAAAUCUCACAGUUGUUUUUGUGUUAGGUGGGCCAGGCAGCGGAAAGGGUACUCAAUGUUCGAACAUUGUCAAACAUUUUGGGUAUACUCACCUCAGUGCUGGGGAUCUUCUGCGAGCAGAAAUUAAAUCCGGUUCUGAAAAUGGUACAAUGAUUCAGAAUAUGAUUAAAGAAGGAAAAAUUGUUCCAUCUGAGGUAACAAUUAAGCUGCUGCAGCGAGCAAUGCUGGAAAAUGGCAAUGACAAAUUUCUUAUUGAUGGUUUUCCUCGCAAUGAGGAAAACCGUGCAGCGUUUGAGAAAGUGACAGGAAUAGAGCCAACGUUUGUCCUUUUUUUUGAUUGCCCUGAGGAAGAGAUGGAGAGGCGACUUCUUGGCCGGAACCAGGGUAGAGAAGAUGACAACAUUGAAACAAUAAGGAAGCGGUUUAAUGUUUUCUUGGAAUCUAGUCUCCCUGUGAUUAAUUAUUAUGAUGCAAAGCUAAAAGUUCGCAAGAUUGAUGCUGCAAGGCCUGUUGAGGAGGUAUUUGAGUCAGUCAAAGCUAUUUUUAGUCCAAAAAAUGAGAAGGCUGACUGAGUAUGUUCACCCUUGAUUUCAUGCUGGAAACUUAGAGGUAAAAGUUACAUCGUUAUGUUGUAUUGGGCUGCUUGUUCUGUUGCAUCACAUUUUGUUUAUUAAUUUAGAAAAUUAUAUCCUAUACCUGAGGUUAUUACCCCUUUUAAUGUUGUACCUUAUUGACUCAUUCAUUGAUAGCAAUAAAGAAUUUUGUGAGUUUAUUUAUA